AUUGAACGCUGGCGGCAGGCUUAACACAUGCAAGUCGAGCGAGCGGCGGACGGGUGUGUAAUGUCUGGGAAACUGCCUGAUGGAGGGGGAUAACUACUGGAAAAUGUAGCUAAUACCGCAUACCAUCAGAUGCGCCCAGAUGGGUUUAGCUAGUCGGUGGGGUAAUGGCUCACCUAGGCGACGAUCCCUAGCGGGUCUGAGAGGAUGACCAGCCACACUGGAACGGAGACACGGUCCAGACUCCUACGGGAGGCAGCAGUGGGGAAUAUUGCACAAUGGGCGCAAGCCUGAUGCAGCCAUGCCGCGUGUGUGAAGAAGGCCUUCGGGUUGUAAAGCACUUUCAGCGAGGAGGCGUUACUCGCAGAAGAAGCACCGGCUAACUCCGUGCCAGCCGCCGCGGUAAUAC
rnacentral:rRNA from 1 species